rnacentral:rRNA from 1 species
GAUGAACGCUAGCGGCAGGCUUAAUACAUGCAAGUCGGGGGGCAGCAUGAUUGUAGCAAUACAAUUGAUGGCGACCGGCAAACGGGUGCGGAACACGUACACAACCUUCCAACAAGUGGGGGAUAGCCCAGAGAAAUUUGGAUUAAUACCCCGUAACAUAGCGAUGUGGCAUCACAUUGCUAUUAUAGAUUUUUCGCUUGUUGAUGGGUGUGCGGCUGAUUAGAUAGUUGGCGGGGUAACGGCCCACCAAGUCUACGAUCAGUAGCUGAUGUGAGAGCAUGAUCAGCCACACGGGCACUGAGACACGGGCCCGACUACUACGGGAGGCAGAAGUAAGGAAUAUUGGACAAUGGACGCAAGUCUGAUCCAGCCAUGCCGCGUGAGGGAUUAAGGUCCUCUGGAUUGUAAACUUCUUUUAUAAGGGACGAAAAAAGGCUUUUCUAAGUCGUCUGACGGUACCUUAUGAAUAAGCACCGGCUAACUCCGUGCCAGCAGCCGCAGUAACAC